UUCAAUAGGAAUCCCACCCCACCCCCCACUCCGCUCUCCUCAAAAUUAAUAGACACCCUCUGCUCUAGGGUAACAAACUGGUUGCUAUUUGCAAAAUAAUGCACAUCCUAAAAACAGUACCCCAUUACAAAGAAAUUUUAAGUUAAGGGUGACCAAGAUCAUUAUCUUAAGUACUUUCAUUUUAUAUGACAACAUACAAUUUGUAUAUACUUGGUGAAGCAACUAAUUUUUCUUUGCAGUUUCGCUUGUCAAAAAGUUGUUGUUGGGUAUUAUUUGCAGUUUUUAGACUACUAGAAAAAGGAUCCCUGCAGAAACAACCAUGACUUUUGGGCCUUCCACUGAAUAAUGCUCUACUUGUUCUUUUUUUCACUUUAGCUCUUCUUGUGCCACUAAUGAUCUACUCCAGAAUCAUUAUGGGCUACUACUGGGAAGGUGGGGUUUUUUUUUGCAAAAGCUGCCAUUCCCGAUUUAUCAGAUUGACUUGUAUGAAUAACUGCUUUGAAAAAACAAUUUCUUGCCAGGGGCUCAUUUUUUUCUCAAAACACUUACCUGAACUCAGGAUAGUGUGGAGACAGCUUGGGCUCCUGAGGGGGGUUAGGUGACUCUUGCCAGAAGUUUGAACUGAUUGCUUGCAGAAUUUUCUUCCUCCUGCUGCCAUGGCUCCAUCUGUUUCAGCUCAUCCCACCAUCCUUUUCUUCCCCCCAAGGCUCCCCUUCCCAGACAAAGAGCCCAAGGGCCACAGGCUACACACCCACUAGAGACACAAAAACACAGAAGUCCCAAACGCUGGUGCUCUCAACUGUUUUUGUGAAGAUAUGCUGCCUACAAAUUAGUGUACUUGUGCCAUCGAAAACUUGGGAGCCAGACUUACGUUUCCUACAAAAUAGGUUGAGCUGUCUUUGACCAAAUUGCUGGGGCAAGUAGUGUAAUGGCAAUUCUAUCAUUAUGCAAAGAGCACAUGUUGUGUGCAAGAGGGGCAGAGAACAAUUACUAUUUCCAGCACUACAGGAAAAUCCCCCAAAGCGGCAUGAUCAGAAUGAAAGUACAUGCAUCUAUAAUUGAUAUCAAUGAAGAACUACCAUGACCCACUACAGUAGCACUGUUCUAAGAAGGUACACUCAAAAUUACCGUGCAGAGAUUAACAACCAAAUCACUACAAUCACUAAUAUUAAUAAAAGGGUCUCCUCGUUUCACUAAAGAAGAAAAUGAGAAAGUGCAAAAAAGUGAAGAGAAACAGAAGAGCAGGCUAGAAGAAUAUUUUUAUGGAACUCUGAUGUCUUGUCUUCUACCUCGAUCAAUCACUGAGAAACUUCUGUCCCAACUAUUGAUUCCAGCAGUUUUGUUCUGGCAUUUUUUUUGGGGGGGGGGGAGAAGAUGGUUCUCACAAUUGUAACUUUGCUUAGCAGGAUUACAGAUGAGGUCCAGAGAUAAAACCAGGGGUAGGCAACCUAAGAUCCAUGGGCCACAAGCGGCCCACAGGGGUCGUUUAACCGGCCCACGAGCCGCCCCUGAAUUGAGCCGCCCGCUUGGCGGGUCCCUGCACGCUGCGCUAAACCGGCACAGCGUGGCGCGGGGACUCGCUUCCAUGGUGCCGGAAAUCACGUCUGCGCAUGCUCAGACACCGAAAAUUGCGUCUGCGCAGAUGCCAGAAAUCCUGUCUGUGCAGACGCAGAAAAUCGUGGCAGCAUGCGCUCACAAUCUGGCUCACAGAGGGAUCUCCGCUGGAGUGAACCGGCUCAGGCGAGGUAAACCUUGCCAACCCCUGGAUAAAACAAUUCAAGCAUAAAGAACUACCAUGUGGUUUCUAAAACCAUACCAACCCAAGCUUUGUUGCCAUUCCACCUAAGCUCACAUACCACAGAUGCAAUGGUCUGACUGAUGAGGAAAUAACACCAUAUAUGAAACCAUAUAGUUAAAGAUAUAGUGGUGCUAAUGUCAGGCCUUUUUACCUUUCUAGGUACUCUCUCAUGCACAGUAUUGCAUGAUCCAUCUUAAUUAAAGUUAAACCUUUAACAUUCCAGCAUGUGGUAUUUAUCAAUAAGGAUGGUAAAAGCACCAGCAGCUUGUUUACUUCCAUGAGAAGACUCCACAGGUAAAGGAAAGUUGUGUUCAUAUGAAACCAGUAAGCUGUUUUCUGUAAUACUGGAUAAACCAAAUAACAUGCUUCAAUAUUUUAUUUCUAGACACAGUGUAGUGUUUUUUGAAACAUCACAUUAAAUUUUUAUCAACAAACCAAUAUAAGCAGCAGCUGGUAACCUCGGAUAUUUUCCUUAAGUUCCUUUUGAGUUCUCAUAAUCAUCUUCCUUUACUUGAAAACUAGUGCUGGAAUACUGAAAUUACUUCUUAGGUACAUCUUCAGAUGAUAUCUAUCUUUGCAGGCCUCCAGUAAUGAUCGAGAGGUACUAGCUACUGAAGAGUUUGCAAUUUCUGACUUUUGAGAAUUCAGAUAAUUCCUGAAAGUUCAACUGCUAAUUGAUCUCAUGGGAAGCAAGAAAUGGUCGUCACUGUCAGAAGAUAUGUAUAUUCUGGCUUACAAUACUGUGAGAAACCAUUACAAUACUGUGAGCAGCCCUGCUUGCUGAGAAAGGGGGUUCUACAGCCCUCUUCUCUUUCGUUUGAUAAAACUUUUCUUCAUUUUUUGCAGCAUACGAUCACCUCCACUCCCCCAAAAGGCCUCUGCUUGGGGUGGGGGUGGUGAGGGGGAGAACACCUGGAGAAAGAGCAAUGGAAUGUGGGAAAAGCGAAAGUCCUAAAAACCACAUAAGGCCCAUACGCCCAUUGUUUAGAAACCCACUAAAAACUUCUGAAAGGUAUUUCAGGAGGCACAGAUGGCUACAGAGACUAUGAAGCAUCUUUACUGUAUCCAAUGAUCCAAACUCUUGUAUUCAGGAUUGCUGGUUUAAUGCUUCAUUCUUUAACUCUACCUAUGAAUUCUAACUUUCAUUGUAUUUACACUUUAAAAGCAAACUCUAAAAAAAUAAAGGCUGCAGCAUGGUUUUAAUAAGGUGUAGAGCAGGGGUCCCCAAACUAAGGCCCGGGGGCUGGAUGCGGCCCAAUUGCCUUCUAAAUCCGGCCCGCGGACGGUCCAGGAAUCAGCAUGUUUUUACAUGAGUAGAAUGUGCCCUUUUAUUUAAAAUGCAUCUCUGAGUUAUUUGUGGGGCCUGCCUGGUGUUUUUACAUGAGUAGAAUGUGUCCUUUUAUUUAAAAUGCAUCUCUGGGUUAUUUGUGAGGCAUAGGAAUUCGUUCAUAUUUUUUUUCAAAAUAUAGUCCGGCCCCCCACAAGGUCUGAGGGACAGUGGACCGGCCCCCUGCUGAAAAAGUUUGCUGACCCCUGGUGUAGAGCAUACUCCAUAAAGCUUUUUAGAAAAUAUUUUCAUAAGAAAAGCUGCACUAAAUCUAUAUAGGAAGUUAUUUAAAUCCUUCCCAAUUCUGUAUCAUUUAUUAAGGUCUUUUAAUUUCGUCAUAGCUUUGAAUCUGAAAUCUCAAGACUAAUAUCUCCUACCUAUAGGGAAAUAUGAAAGACCAGAUGGAAACAAGAACUCUCAAUACAUUCAAACCAAAUGAACUGUUUCCGGUUUCAAAAAGUUUUAUUUGUAAGAAAGGUAUUACCUGUCCUGAUAACCAGAACAAUAACUUUUUGCCCAAAAUUUAAAACAACUAUUCACCUUUCCUUGAGAUUUCAAGUUCAUUUUUUUUGAACUGAAAGUUGAAAACAAACCAGACAAAUUAUUUUCCUUCCAUCUCAGCUAAACCUAAAGAAACUCAGUACAGUACCUUUGAAUUGAGGUGGG